AUGAACGCUGGCGGCGUGCUUAAUACAUGCAAGUCGAACGAAGAGCCCUUAACCGAAGAUGAUGACGUGCUUGCACUGAAUCUGAUUCACCUAGGGUUACUGAGUGGCGGACGGGUGAGUAACGCGUGGGUAACCUGCCUUAGACAGGGGGAUAACAUCAAGAAAUUGGUGCUAAUACCGCAUAUGCUCACAGUAUCGCAUGAUACAGUGAGGAAAACUCCGGUGGUCUAAGAUGGACCCGCGUCUGAUUAGCUAGUUGGAGGGGUAACGGCCCACCAAGGCGACGAUCAGUAGCCGACUUGAGAGAGUGAUCGGCCACAUUGGGACUGAGACACGGCCCAAACUCCUACGGGAGGCAGCAGUAGGGAAUAUUGCACAAUGGGGGAAACCCUGAUGCCAGCGACGCCGCGUGAAGGAUGAAGUAUUUCGGUAUGUAAACUUCUAUCAGCAAGGAAGAAAAUGACGGUACUUGACUAAGAAGCCCCGGCUAAAUACGUGCCAGCAGCCGC
rnacentral:rRNA from 1 species